AUUGAACGCUGGCGGCAGGCCUAACACAUGCAAGUCGAGCGGAUGAAGUGAGCUUGCUCCUGGAUUCAGCGGCGGACGGGUGAGUAAUGCCUAGGAAUCUGCCUGGUAGUGGGGGAUAACGUCCGGAAACGGGCGCUAAUACCGCAUACGUCCUGCGGGAGAAAGUGGGGGAUCUUCGGACCUCACGCUAUCAGAUGAGCCUAGGUCGGAUUAGCUAGUUGGUGGGGUAAAGGCCUACCAAGGCGACGAUCCGUAACUGGUCUGAGAGGAUGAUCAGUCACACUGGAACUGAGACACGGUCCAGACUCCUACGGGAGGCAGCAGUGGGGAAUAUUGGACAAUGGGCGAAAGACUGAUCCAGCCAUGCCGCGUGUGUGAAGAAGGUCUUCGGAUUGUAAAGCACUUUAAGUUGGGAGGAAGGGCAGUAAGUUAAUACCUUGCUGUUUUGACGUUACCAACAGAAUAAGCACCGGCUAACUUCGUG
rnacentral:rRNA from 1 species